AUUGAACGCUGGCGGCAGGCUUAACACAUGCAAGUCGAGCGGGGUGAUGGUGCUUGCACUAUCACUUAGCGGCGGACGGGUGAGUAAUGCUUAGGAAUCUGCCUAUUAGUGGGGGACAACAUCUCGAAAGGGAUGCUAAUACCGCAUACGUCCUACGGGAGAAAGCAGGGGGUCACUUGUGACCUUGCGCUAAUAGAUGAGCCUAAGUCGGAUUAGCUAGUUGGUGGGGUAAAGGCCUACCAAGGCGACGAUCUGUAGCGGGUCUGAGAGGAUGAUCCGCCACACUGGGACUGAGACACGGCCCAGACUCCGACGGGAGGCAGCAGUGGGGAAUAUUGGACAAUGGGGGGAACCCUGAUCCAGCCAUGCCGCGUGUGUGAAGAAGGCCUUACGGUUGUAAAGCACUUUAAGCGAGGAGGAGGCUCUUUUGGUUAAUACCCAAGAUGAGUGGACGUUACUCGCAGAAUAAGCACCGGCUAACUCUGUGCCAGCCGCCGCCGUAA
rnacentral:rRNA from 1 species